AUUGAACGCUGGCGGCAGGCUUAACACAUGCAAGUCGAGCGGGGACUUCGGUCCUAGCGGCGAACGGGUGAGGAAUGCUUGGGAAUCUGCCCAGUAGCGGGGGAUAACAUUUCGAAAGGAACGCUAAUACCGCAUACGCCCUACGGGGGAAAGGGGGGGAUCUUCGGACCUCUCACUAUUGGAUGAGCCCAAGUCGGAUUAGCUAGUUGGUGGGGUAAAGGCCUACCAAGGCGACGAUCCGUAGCUGGUCUGAGAGGAUGAUCAGCCACACUGGAACUGAGACACGGUCCAGGCUCCUACGGGAGUCAGCAGUGGGGAAUAUUGGACAAUGGGCGAAAGCCUGAUCCAGCCAUGCCGCGUGUGUGAAGAAGGCCUUCGGGUUGUAAAGCACUUUAAGCGAGGAGGAAUGGCUCUUGGUUAAUAACCUUGAGCAGUGACGUUACUCGCAGAAUAAGCACCGGCUAACUCUGUGCCAGCCGCCGCAGUAAGAC
rnacentral:rRNA from 1 species